AGUGAACGCUGGCGGUAGGCCUAACACAUGCAAGUCGAACGGCAGCACAGGAGAGCUUGCUCUCUGGGUGGCGAGUGGCGGACGGGUGAGGAAUACAUCGGAAUCUACUCUGUCGUGGGGGAUAACGUAGGGAAACUUACGCUAAUACCGCAUACGACCUACGGGUGAAAGCAGGGGACCUUCGGGCCUUGCGCGAUUGAAUGAGCCGAUGUCGGAUUAGCUAGUUGGCGGGGUAAAGGCCCGCCAAGGCGACGAUCCGUAGCUGGUCUGAGAGGAUGAUCAGCCACACUGGAACUGAGACACGGUCCAGACUCCUACGGGAGGCAGCAGUGGGGAAUAUUGGACAAUGGGCGCAAGCCUGAUCCAGCCAUACCGCGUGGGUGAAGAAGGCCUUCGGGUUGUAAAGCCCUUUUGUUGGGAAAGAAAUCCAGCUGGCUAAUACCCGGUUGGGAUGACGGUACCCAAAGAAUAAGCACCGGCUAACUACGUGCCAGCAGCCGCCGUAA
rnacentral:rRNA from 1 species